rnacentral:tmRNA from 1 species
GGGGCCGAAUGGUAUCGACCGGACAGGGAAGGCUUGUGGUGGCGCGUCGUGGAGCAUCCUGGCCACGUAAAAAGGAUGCAACAUUCAUAACUGCCAACACGCAGUACGCUCUCGCCGCUUGAUUGCGGUGACGAUCAUCGCCCGACGCCCGAUGGGGCGAUGAUUGAAGCCAUCGGGCUGGCAUCGACGGGCUGACAGUCCUCGUCGGUGUGAGAACACAGUCUGUCAUGACGACUCGACACGCGGUCAUGGGCGGUUCGAGGAGUCGAGAUCAAAGUCAUGACUACACGCGUAGAGGCCACCUGCUGACUGUUUCGGCACGGGGGUUCGAAUCCCCCCGGCUCCAUUU